AGUUUGAUCCUGGCUCAGAUUGAACGCUGGCGGCGUGCUUAACACAUGCAAGUCGCGCGUGAAAGGACUUCGGUCCGAGUAAAGCGGCGCACGGGUGAGUAACGCGUGGAUGAUCUACCCAUGAGUUAGGAAUGACGGCUGGAAACGGUCGCUAAUACUAAAUACGCUCCGAUUUCAACUUCGGGGGAAAGGUGGCCUCUGCUUGCAAGCUACUGCUCAUGGAUGAGUCCGCGUCCCAUUAGCUAGUUGGUGGGGUAACGGCCCACCAAGGCGACGAUGGGUAGCCGGUCUGAGAGGAUGACCGGCCACACUGGGACUGGAACACGGCCCAGACUCCUACGGGAGGCAGCAGUGGGGAAUAUUGCGCAAUGGGCGAAAGCCUGACGCAGCGACGCCGCGUGAAGGGGAUGAAGGUCCUCGGAUCGUAAACCUCUGUCAGGAGGGAAGAACCGCCACGGUGCUAAUCAGCCGUGGUCUGACGGUACCUCCAAAGGAAGCACCGGCUAACUCCGUGCCAGCCGCUGC
rnacentral:rRNA from 1 species